rnacentral:rRNA from 1 species
UACGGAGGAUCCAAGGGUUAUCCGGAAUCAUUGGGUUUAAAGGGUCCGUAGGCGGUCUGGUAAGUCAGUGGUGAAGGCCCAUCGCUCAACGGUGGAACGGCCAUUGAUACUGCCAGACUUGAAUUACUGGGAAGUAACUAGAAUAUGUAGUGUAGCGGUGAAAUGCUUAGAGAUUACAUGGAAUACCAAUUGCGAAGGCAGGUUACUACCAGUUUAUUGACGCUGAUGGACGAAAGCGUGGGUAGCGAAC